AGAGAGCCCCGUGGCUUUGGAGAUUUUUCCUAAACCUGGAUUUAUCCUAGAACAGCAAAUCUUAGUUAAUUUCUCUCUCAAAUUCAUCACCCUUUCUGGCUUUUCUCUAUUUUGCUCUUAAAUCACAGACUUCUUUGAAAAAUCAAAUUAAAUCAUGCCUCAUUUUCCACACAUGUGCAAACACAAUUUUGUAAAUGUCUGGGGAUUCAUUUGAGUUUUAGAAGUCCAUUCAUGGGGUAACAGAUCUUGUUGGAGAACAGUUCUAAAAUGGAGUUCAGAUCAUGUAUUAGUUCCCACCUAAGAUCAUCCAAAGGUAGCUGGAUUUCCCAAGACAUUUUGAAAACACUCGGAGCAUUUUAUGGCCCAUUUUGGAACCUAAACAAAGUUAUUUCUUCCAAAAGCAUGUUGAACAUUAAACACUGUCUGACUUAACACUAAAAACAAAAGUUGUAUUUUGUGGCUAAUCGGAACUGUUUCCCCACUGCCAGACCCCUCUUUAUCAAAACAACUUUGAUAACUUUGAAAGCUGCAUUGGAGCAACUUCCUUUCUCUGUUUCUCCAACCCUUGAGCCCUAGCCCCCAGUUGGCUUUCGCAGAACCUCCUCUUGGCUUGCACCUCAGCCAUCACAGAAGCUUCCCUAAGAUCCUUGGCUCCGAACUCCCUGUGCUUCUCAGGCUGCUGUGAGCUCUGCUCCUCCUCCUGCUCAGCCAGUCCAGCAUCUUGAGGAGGGAUGAGGAGAUAGGAAAGCAACCAGGGCAUGGGCCACCCCUGUGGGCCUUGGUGGGGUGAGACCCUGCAUGAGGACUAUACUCCACACAUCUCUGAGUGAGUCUACACUUCUCUUCAGCAGCCUGGCUGCAAAGCAGUGGAAGAACAGCAGAGAUUAACCCUCUCAUGGUUCUGCACUGCCUACAGAGCUUGCCACCUAUUUUGGUGACCUUUAAUGAUCUUCAGUGACCUUAACUCUGUGCACCCCUGGCCCCCAGCACGGAGCCCAAGAGCAGGGCCGCCUCCUUACCCAGCACCAUGUCACAACCUAGCCUCACAGGCCUCUCCUUGGGCUCCCUGCC
rnacentral:lncRNA from 1 species